UAUUAUGCUAAUUAUAAACUUUGACAUAUCCGCCAGAGUACUACGAGCCACAGCUUAAAACUCAAAGGACUUGGCGGUGCUUUAAACCCACCUAGAGGAGCCUGUUCUGUAAUCGAUACCCCCCGAUAAACCUCACCGCACUUAGCCACUCAUCCUAUAUACCACCGUCCUCGCCCACCCUUUAAAGGAAAAACAAUGGGCAAAGUAAUAAACAUUAAAACGUCAGGUCAAGGUGUAGCCCAUAGUGCGGGAAGAAAUGGGCUACAUUUUCUUAUCAGAAAAUACGGAUGACCAAAUGAAAUACCCCAGAAGGAGAUUUAGUAGUAAAGAGAAAAAAGAGUCUCUUAAUAAGGCAAUAAAGCGCGC
rnacentral:rRNA from 1 species